ensembl:lncRNA
CGUGAUGUCACUUUUGCACGUUAUAACCAGAAGAAUGUGCUCUGAACGUUUGAAACAAAUUGAAAGAAUGUUACAUGAACGUCCAACUAAAACAUUUCAGAAAGAAAAAAUAAAACGUUUGAGUAUAAACAAUAUUUUUGUGCUAACAUUUUGGAAACUUUGUUAAAGACCAGAUAACUCUAAAGGAAGGCUCUUUCAGAGUGUUGUUAUUAAUAUUAAUGUUAACACUAGCAGAUGUUCAAGCCGUUCUGAACACAACCGACUCAAGCAGAAACGCGUGGCUUGCUGAAGCAGUCAGAGUCUGUGCCCAUCACACACUGCAUGAUUCUCUGUGGAAUCUGUCAUCUUCAGUCUGCAGACGGGUUCUGGUACUGCAUGUGGCUGUUGUGUUCCUGAUUGAACAGCAGGUGGCAGAAAAGAGCCAGCGAGGUCACUCUAGUCUAGUGCACUACACACUGGCUGCGUCUCAAAUCACACACUCUCUGAGUACUGCUCUUCAGUAA